GACAAACGCUGGCGGCAUGCCUAACACAUGCAAGCCGAACGGACAGACCAGGGAAGCUUUUCGGAGUGGAACUGGAAAGUUAGUGGCGGAGGGGUGAGUAACGCGUGGACAACCUACCUUGUAAAGGGGAAUAACCUCGAGAAAUCGAAGCUAAUAACCCAUAAUAACCUUGCUUCGCAUGAAGUAAGGAGGAAAGGCGGCCUUAGCGCAGUCGAUACAAGAUGGGUCCGCGUCUGAUUAGCUAGAUGGUGAGGGAAAGGCUCACCAAGGCGACGGCUAGUAGCCCUCUUAAGGGGAUGAGCGGUCACAUUGAGUCUGACACACGGCCCAGUCUCCUGCAGGAGUCAUCAGUAGGGAUUGUUGCGCACUCUGCGAAAUCCUGUCGGAGCAAUGCCGCGCGGGUGAAGAUGACCUUCGGGUUGUAAGACUCUGUCCUUAUCGAAGUUAUCGUUUUGUAGUAAUUGACAUUACUAGGACGGUAGUUAGAGAGGAAUCCCCGGCUAACUAUGUG
rnacentral:rRNA from 1 species